CUGCAGGCUAAACAUGCCCAGCUCUUUAAGCCGCUCCUCAUAGGGCUUGUUCUCCAGACCCUUAAUCAUUUUAGUCGCCCUCCUCUGGACGCUUUCCAGCUUGUCAACAUCUCCCUUCAACUGUGGUGCCCAAAAUUGGACACAGUAUUCCAGGUGUGGUCUGACCAAGGCAGAAUAGAGGGGGAGCAUAACUUCCCUGGAUCUAGACGCUAUUCCCCUAUUGAUGCAGGCCAGAAUCCCAUUGGCUUUUUUAGCAGCCGCAUCACAUUGUUGGCUCAUGUUUAACUUGUUGUCCACGAGGACUCCAAGGUCUUUUUCGCACACACUGCUGUCAAGCCAGGCGUCCCCCAUUCUGUAUCUUUGAUUUCCAUUUUUUCUGCCGAAGUGAAGUAUCUUGCAUUUGUCCCUGUUGAACUUCAUUUUGUUAGUUUUGGCCCAUCUCUCUAGUCUGUCAAGAUCGUUUUGAAUUCUGCUCCUGUCUUCUGGAGUGUUAGCUAUCCCUCCCAGUUUUGUGUCGUCUGCAAACUUGAUGAUCGUGCCUUCUAACCCUUCGUCUAAGUCGUUAAUAAAGAUGUUGAACAGAACCGGACCCAGGACGGAGCCCUGCGGCACUCCACUUGUCACUUCUUUCCAUGAUGAAGACGACGCAUUGGUGAGCACCCUUUGGGUUCGUUCGCUUAGCCAAUUACAGAUCCACCUAACCGUAGUUUUGUCUAGCCCACAUUUUACUAGUUUGUUUGCCAGAAGGUCGUGGGGGACUUUGUCGAAGGCCUUACUGAAAUCCAGGCCUUACUGAAAUCCAGCAUUCCCUGUAUCGACCCAACUCGUAACUCUAUCGAAAAAAGAGAUCAGAUUAGUCUGGCAUGACUUGUUUUUGGUAAAUCCGUGUUGACUAUUAGCAAUGACCGCAUUUGUUUCUAAGUGUUCGCAGACCACUUCCUUGAUGAUCUUUUCCAGAAUCUUGCCUGGUAUCGAUGUGAGGCUGACCGGACGGUAAUUGUUUGGGUCGUUCUUUUUUCCCUUCUUGAAGAUAGGGACCACAUUCGCCUUCCUCCAAUCUGCUGGGACUUCUCCCGUUCUCCAAGAACUCUCGAAGAUAAUUGCUAGUGGUUCUGAAAUAACUUCCGCUAAUUCCUUCAAUACUCUUGGAUGUAGCUGAUCUGGCCCUGGGGACUUGAAUUCGUU
rnacentral:lncRNA from 11 species